CCAGCCCGCUCAGAACUUAAAGGAAUUGAGGGGCCCGCACAAGCGGUGGAGCAGUGUGGUUUAAUUCGAUGAUACGCGAGGAACCUUACCUGGGCUCAAAUGUAUGUUGACGUAUUUCUGAAAGGGGUACUUCUUCGGACAAUAUACAAGGUGCUGCAUGGUUGUCGUCAGCUCGUGCCGUGAGGUGUCGGGUUAAGUCCCAUAACGAGCGCAACCCUACCUUUAGUUGCCAUCAGGUAAUGCUGGGGACUCUAAAGGAACUGCCUACGCAAGUAGUGAGGAAGGCGGGGAUGACGUCAAAUCAGCACGGCCCUUACGUCCAGGGCUACACACGUGCUACAAUGGCCGAUACAGAGGGCAGCUACCUGGUGACAGGAUGCAAAUCUCCAAAGUCGGUCUCAGUUCGGAUCGGAGUCUGCAACCCGACUCCGUGAAGUUGGAUUCGCUAGUAAUCGCGCAUCAGCCAUGGCGCGGUGAAUACGUUCCCGGGCCUU
rnacentral:rRNA from 1 species